rnacentral:rRNA from 1 species
CCUACGGGUGGCAGCAGUGAGGAAUAUUGGUCAAUGGUCGGGAGACUGAACCAGCCAAGCCGCGUGAGGGAGGAAGGUACAGAGUAUCGUAAACCUCUUUUGUCAGGGAACAAAGGCGGGGACGUGUCCCCGGAUGAGUGUACCUGAAGAAAAAGCAUCGGCUAACUCCGUGCCAGCAGCCGCGGUAAUACGGAGGAUGCGAGCGUUCUCCGGAUUUAUUGGGGUAAAAGGGUGCGCAGGCGGUCGGUAAAGUCAGCGGGAAAAGCCCGGGGCUCAACCCCGGCCCGCCGUUGAAACUGGCAGGCUCGAGUUGGAGAGAAGUAUGCGGAAUGCGCGGUGUAGCGGGGAAAUGCAUAGAUAUCGCGCAGAACUCCGAUUGCGAAGGCAGCAUGCCGGCUCCACACUGACGCUGAGGCACGAAAGCGUGGGUAUCGAACAGGAUUAGAUACCCUUGUAGUC